AACGAACGCUGGCGGCAGGCCUAACACAUGCAAGUCGAGCGAGGACUUCGGUCCUAGCGGCGGACGGGUGAGUAACGCGUGGGAACGUGCCCUUUGCUUCGGAAUAGCCCUGGGAAACUGGGAGUAAUACCGGAUGAGCCCUUUGGGGGAAAGAUUUAUCGGCGAAGGAUCGGCCCGCGUUGGAUUAGGUAGUUGGUGGGGUAAUGGCCUACCAAGCCGACGAUCCAUAGCUGGUUUGAGAGGAUGAUCAGCCACACUGGGACUGAGACACGGCCCAGACUCCUACGGGAGGCAGCAGUGGGGAAUCUUAGACAAUGGGGGAAACCCUGAUCGAGCCAAGCCGCGUGAGCGAUGAAGGCCUUAGGGUUGUAAAGCUCUUUCAGCUGGGAAGAUAAUGACGGUACCAGCAGAAGAAGCCCCGGCUAACUCCGUG
rnacentral:rRNA from 1 species